AUAAUAAUUUGAUGUGAUUCUCCUUUUGUAUUGGGGGCGAACCCUACAGAGCCAUUUGAGAAAGGUGACGGGGACGGAGGAGCAUCUUCCACCCAUAAAAAAGAACACUGAAACCCUAAACCGACUCAGUUACCGUUACAGUUACAGUUUCAGUUUCUUCUCCCACAAUGCCAAUGGCCUAUUGCAUAUCUCACUUCCCCAAGCUUCCGCUCCUCCCUUCUCUGCCACACUCCCCGUCGCGUUCCUCCGCUCUCCUCCCAUCGACGAAACCUCUGCCACAAAACCACGCCGUUCCCAAAACCCUACGCGCAUGCCCCUCAUCCCGCGUCAAACCAACGCUUCCGGUUCGAUGCUCAAACGUCGCCGUUGCGGAACCCGCCUCCAAAGUCGGGAAGCGAACCGAUAUCAAGAAGAUCCUAAUUCUCGGCGCGGGUCCCAUCGUAAUCGGCCAAGCGUGCGAGUUCGACUACUCCGGGACCCAAGCGUGUAAAGCCUUGCGCGAAGAAGGUUACGAAGUGGUUCUCAUAAACUCCAAUCCUGCCACAAUCAUGACUGAUCCUGAAACCGCCGACCGCACCUACAUCACUCCCAUGACGCCGGAGCUCGUCGAGAGAGUUCUCGAGUCCGAGCGCCCCGACGCGCUCCUCCCCACCAUGGGCGGCCAGACCGCACUCAACCUUGCCGUGGCCCUCUCCGAGAGCGGCGCGCUCGAGAAAUACGGCGUUGAACUCAUCGGCGCGAAGCUCGAGGCAAUCAAGAAGGCUGAGGAUAGAGAGCUCUUCAAACAGGCUAUGAAGAACAUAGGAAUUAAGACCCCUCCAUCCGGCAUUGGCACCACGCUUGAGGAGUGCCUCAGCAUCGCCAACGAAAUCGGAGAGUACCCGCUCAUCGUGCGGCCGGCGUUCACCCUCGGUGGCACCGGCGGCGGAAUCGCGUACAACCGUGAGGAUUUGUUGGAGAUUUGCAAGGCUGGGCUUGCUGCUAGUUUGACCACCCAGGUUUUGAUUGAGAAGUCUUUGCUGGGGUGGAAGGAGUAUGAGCUUGAGGUUAUGAGGGAUUUGGCUGACAACGUUGUUAUCAUUUGUUCCAUUGAGAAUAUUGAUCCAAUGGGGGUUCACACUGGCGAUUCUAUUACGGUUGCUCCGGCACAGACUCUGACGGAUAAGGAGUACCAGCGGUUGAGGGAUUAUUCAAUUGCUAUAAUUAGAGAGAUCGGAGUGGAGUGCGGAGGGUCUAAUGUGCAAUUUGCCGUUAAUCCUGAGGAUGGUGAGGUGAUGGUCAUUGAGAUGAACCCCAGAGUUUCCAGGUCUUCAGCUUUGGCGUCUAAGGCUACUGGGUUUCCCAUUGCGAAAAUGGCGGCGAAGUUGUCUGUGGGGUAUUCUUUGGAUCAAAUUCCUAAUGAUAUUACAAAGAAGACACCUGCCAGCUUUGAGCCAUCUAUUGAUUACGUCGUUACUAAGAUUCCUCGGUUUGCUUUUGAGAAGUUUCCUGGUUCUCAGCCAAUAUUGACGACACAGAUGAAAUCAGUUGGAGAGGCAAUGGCAGUAGGGAGAACCUUCCAAGAGUCAUUUCAAAAAGCAGUACGCUCUCUAGAAUAUGGAUACGCAGGAUGGGGGUGCUCCCAGGUGAAGGAGUUGAACUAUGACUUGGAGCAAUUGAAGUAUAGCCUCCGAGUUCCUAACCCAGAGCGCAUUCAUGCCAUCUAUGCUGCAAUGAAACGAGGGAUGCACAUUGAUGAAAUUUUUGAGCUGAGUUACAUUGACAAGUGGUUUCUGACACAGCUCAAGGAGCUGGUCGACGUGGAAAGUUUCUUGCUGUCACACAAUUUGUCUGAUUUGACAAAUGUUGAUUUCUUUGAGGUGAAGAGAAGAGGGUUUAGUGAUAAGCAGAUAGCAUUUGCAACUAAAUCUAGUGAGAAAGAAGUACGCAAUAGGCGAUUGUCUCUGGGAGUUACUCCGGCAUAUAAGCGAGUUGAUACAUGUGCAGCAGAAUUUGAGGCUAAUACUCCUUAUAUGUAUUCUUCUUAUGAUUUUGAAUGUGAGUCGGCUCCCACUACAAGAAAGAAGGUCUUAAUUUUGGGUGGAGGACCAAAUAGAAUUGGGCAAGGGAUUGAGUUUGAUUACUGUUGUUGUCAUGCAUCUUUUGCUCUUCAGGAUGCAGGAUACGAGACAAUCAUGGUGAACUCAAACCCAGAGACAGUCUCCACCGACUAUGACACUAGUGAUCGUCUAUACUUUGAACCCUUGACUGUUGAAGAUGUUUUGAACAUUAUUGAUUUGGAAAGGCCUGAUGGUAUCAUUGUACAAUUUGGAGGUCAAACACCAUUGAAGUUAUCUCUCCCCUUACAACAAUACCUAGAUGAACAAAAGCCUGCAUGUGCUAGUGGUGUUGGUUAUGUACGUAUUUGGGGAACAUCUCCUGAUUCCAUAGAUAUUGCUGAGGACAGAGAGAGGUUCAAUGUGAUGCUUCAUGAUCUAAAGAUUGAACACCCUAAAGGUGGAAUAGCUAGGAGUGAAACUGAUGCCCUUGCCAUUGCAGCAGACAUUGGAUAUCCAGUUGUUGUUCGCCCUUCUUAUGUUUUGGGUGGCCGAGCAAUGGAGAUUGUGUAUAGCGAUGAUAAACUGGUGACAUACCUUGAAAAUGCUGUUGAGGUGGAUCCAGAACGCCCUGUAUUAAUUGACAAGUAUUUGUCUGAUGCCUGUGAGAUUGAUGUCGAUGCACUGGCUGACUCACAAGGCAAUGUGGUCAUUGGUGGGAUAAUGGAGCACAUUGAACAGGCUGGGAUACAUUCUGGUGACUCUGCCUGCUCUAUUCCAACCAGAACUGUUCCAUCAACUUGCUUAGAGACAAUCAGGUCGUGGACAGUAAACCUGGCAAAGCAAUUGAACGUAUGCGGACUCAUGAAUUGUCAGUAUGCAAUAACUCCAUCAGGGGAUGUAUUUUUGCUUGAGGCCAACCCUCGAGCUUCUCGUACAGUUCCAUUUGUAUCAAAAGCAAUUGGCCAUCCAUUGGCUAAAUAUGCUUCCCUCGUCAUGUCUGGAAAGACUCUCUAUGAUUUACAGUUUACAAAAGAGGUCAUACCUAAAUAUGUGUCAGUCAAGGAAGCUGUUCUUCCUUUCUCAAAGUUCCCAGGCUGUGAUGUGUUUUUAAGUCCCGAGAUGCGAAGUACCGGUGAGGUUAUGGGUAUUGACCCUUCAUAUAAUGUUGCAUUUGCGAAGGCUCAAAUUGCUGCUGGCCAGAAGCUACCACUUUCUGGUACUGUGUUCCUUAGCUUAAACGACUUAACAAAGCCACAUCUUCAGAAGAUAGCAAAGGCUUUCGUUGAGAACGGUUUUCGAAUUGUUGCUACCAGUGGAACCGCUCAUGUUCUUAAAUUAGCUAAUAUCCCUGCGGAGCCAGUGCUGAAGUUGCACGAAGGGAGGCCUCAUGCUGGUGACAUGAUAGCCAAUGGAGACAUUCAACUGAUGGUGGUAACCAGCUCAGACGAUGCACUUGAUCGUAUAGAUGGUCUGGCCCUGAGAAGGAUGGCUUUGGAUUACAAGGUACCUAUAGUGACAACAGUUAAUGGAGCCCUGGCAACCGCUGAAGCAAUACAGAGCUUGAAGGCCAACUCCAUCAAAAUGAUCGCACUUCAGGACUUCAUUGACGGUGAAUUUAAAGACUGAGCAAGUUUUUGCGGACAGCGUCUUUUCUCUCGCAAAUGGUUAGGCAAUAGACACCACUUCACGUUAGACUGUACAACUUGCUAGAUUUGGAAGUGCGGAAGAAUUGCUAUGGGGGAUGCUUUCAUUUGUAGAGUGAAAGUGUUAAAAAUAUCGAAAGUCAUGUAGUCUGUGUCCUGACUCUUGAUUUAAGGCAGUAGUGCUUUUGUGUAGAAGAUUUUGUAGUAUUUGGAUUUUUUACAGCUUAAUAAUUAUUCUCAUUUUUAAAAUCUCA